UCAUCAUCUGAAAUCAAUCAACCCCACAUUGGCACGCGUCUUAGAACAUAUGUGCCAGGAAAAGAAGAGAAGAAAGAAAAAUAGAACUGAAAAGAAAGAUGUUGAAAUGUGGAACACUACAAACCGAACAAUAUUUCAUAAACAAGUGUUUAGAGUGCUGUAUGGAAGCAGAGCAUUACUUCUAGUAAGGGGCUUACGUUGGAGAGAGGAAUUGAAAGUGCAAAACCAGUACAAGCACUUGUCAUCACAUGGAAGAUAACCAUAGCGAAUUCCUCCUUCAAAGUAGACAUGAAACCUUGGCUGAAAGCCAUGACCAUCAGGGUACUGAACAAAGCCCCUCAUGGCUGAACGCCCAGAAUAAACAGGUUUUUGAAGACCCAGCCACUUCGCAACCGAUGAAUUAACUCCGUCACAACCAAUCAACACCUUCAGUUGGAACACAAAGAAGGGUUAGUCAUCAAAACCUAUCAUAUUUAAUCAUUGUAUGACAUUUUAGCGGUAAAGAUGAUUCCCACGCGUUUCAAAAUGCAGAAUCUAGACGUUAUCCGAACA